rnacentral:misc_RNA from 1 species
UCCGGUUUGACACCGGCAGUCUCGUUAGAGUCCUCGCCAUAACGCGUUAGUAACUAACGACAAGGGUUGCGCUCGUUAAGGGACUUAACCCGACGCUUCACAGCACGAGCUGACGACAGCCAUGCAGCACCUGUGCACGUUCCACUCUUGCGAGUGUCACCCCUGUUUCCAGGGGCUAAUCCGUACAUGUCAAACCCAGGUAAGGUUCUGCGCGUUGCUUCGAAUUGAGCCACAUGCUCCACCGCUUGUGUGAGCCCCCGUCAAUUUCUUUGAGUUUUAAUCUUGCGACCGUACUUCCCAGGCGGUGUGCUUAGCAAUUUCUCUGCGAUCCCGACGACGUCAGAGCCGCCGUGAUCCAGCACACAUCGUUUAGGGCGUGGACUAC